rnacentral:rRNA from 1 species
GAUGAACGCUGGCGGCGUGCCUAAUACAUGCAAGUCGAGCGAACAGACGAGGAGCUUGCUCCUCUGACGUUAGCGGCGGACGGGUGAGUAACACGUGGAUAACCUACCUAUAAGACUGGGAUAACUUCGGGAAACCGGAGCUAAUACCGGAUAAUAUAUUGAACCGCAUGGUUCAAUAGUGAAAGACGGUUUUGCUGUCACUUAUAGAUGGAUCCGCGCCGCAUUAGCUAGUUGGUAAGGUAACGGCUUACCAAGGCAACGAUGCGUAGCCGACCUGAGAGGGUGAUCGGCCACAGUGGAACUGAGACACGGUCCAGACUCCGACGGGAGGCAGCGGUAGGGACUCUUCCGCAAUAGGCGAAAGCCUGCCGGAGCAACGCCGCGUGAGUGAUGAAGGUCUUCGGAUCGUAAAACUCUGUUAUUAGGGAAGAACAAAUGUGUAAGUAACUAUGCACGUCUUGACGGUACCUAAUCAGAAAGCCACGGCUAACUACGUG